rnacentral:lncRNA from 1 species
GAGAAAUUAGAUCAUGUGUGAAAACUUGUGGAAAGAAGCCAGCAGAGGGGAUGCUGAUCAGAUCAGAGGGGGAAGAACGGGGGCUCAGCUUUGGCCUCAGGUGGGAGGAGUGGGCAGGUGCCUCUUUCAUCAGAAGAGGAAGGCAAGGAAAGUGUAGGCAUGGGACAGGCAGGAAGCUGAAGGAAUUGUCAUCUGACUCCUCCUCCAAGUCUUCUGUCAAGUGGGAAGUGAAGAGAAAGCUGAAAGCUCAGCACUGACAGAAGGAUGGAGAAGGUUUGAAAGAGCCAUCUCCAGAAAAAGGAGAGGCAAGUUUGUUGGGCUGGGUGUCCUGCGGGUGUCUGGCUGAAGCUGGAAAACAUGUUUAAUUGAAUAUUCAUCAGGACUACCCAAAUGUAGCAACUAUUGCCACGAAGUCCCUGGAGUCUGGGAAUGUCUGAGUGAAAAUGCAACAAUGUGGUGAUCACUCUGAUUCAGAGAAAUUCAGGGAAAUUGCUGGUCUGAGAUGCUUUAAUAGCUCUGUCCCACGUGAAUCUGCAUCGCUAUUGUCCUUUUCUUUUUUUGAGUUUUUUAACAUAAAUGGAUGGUGUCUCCCAAGGAAACUUACAGCCUGAGCCUGGGGAAAAGACAUGAGAGAGCUAUUACCUGGUAACAGGUGGUAAGACUUUGUGACUGAUGUUCUGAGGAUAUGGCUGCCCUCCGUUUUGUCUUUCAGAAAGUCAAUGACAAAUCACUGUAAGGAAAUAGACAGUGACGCACAGGCCCCUGCUCUCUGAUCUACUGACAGACUAGUCUACAGAAACCAGAUAAGGACUGUAAUAGGGUGGAGAUGAGGGUGUGUGAAAUUCGAAAAAUAGAGAGGAAUGAAUGUGUCAUGCUGUCUUCCAAACUCACCGUCUCAGAUAAAGGUCUCAUAGAUAGAAAUUAAUUUUCAUAGAGAAUUCGUCAGAGUAUUUUAAAAUGGCAUUGUCCAAAAAAGAUAUGAUUCAUCUAUUUUAUUCUCCAGGGUUUCCACAUCACUUGGCACAGUACCUGGCAUAGAGGUAGAUGCUCCAUAAAUAAUUGAGUAAUUGUGUAAUGAAUCAAUGGUGCUUCAGGGUGAAGGGCUGACCUGCUCAUCUCAGGGUACCUGCCUUGUGUGUACAUGCAUGCACACGUGUGCACACACACACACACACACAAAACACACAUAUAUACUCAUAGAAGGCUGCUUUUCUCCUCUAAAUACCCAUGGCAAUUUACAUGUUAGAGAAAAAUUAGCAUUGUUGCUGGAGAGAAUUUCUUAGCUUGCUGACAAUGAAACCAAUGAGAGAUAGAUGUUGAGCUGAGGCAAGGGGGAAGGAAUUUGGUGCAAAGAUUGUGGAUACAGUGAGGCAGGCAGGAGAGCCAGGAACUUUGGAGUUCCAGGUCCUUCUGGAAAAAUAAUUUUGCCCCAUGAUAGCUCUUAUUUGUCCAUACCAAUUUUGAUAGUAAGCAGGUAAUAUGAACUUACUGCUGUGGCAACUGCUCUCGGUAAGCUGCAAACAGGAAUUCUCCUGGCACGAAAGUACAGUCCUUAUGAGCUGGAGAAGCCUUGGCAAACAAUUAUGAUGACUCAUCCUGUGCUUUCAGGCUGUUUUGUCUUUGCUGGAAUCCUUGGCAUACAACUACUGAAGGUUUUUUUUUUUUUUCAAACUUAAUUUCCUUUUGUUUUAAAUGGAAUCCAGACCCAGGGCUAAUUGUCUUCUACACUCUAAUGCUUGAAAAAUUCAUCACCUCGCCUGUCUAUAAAGAGUUUUGUUUUUUUCAUUUUGGGGCCACACCCGCAGCAUAUGGAGGUUCCCAGAGAACAAAAAAAAAAACAAAAAAAAAAAAAAAAAAA